rnacentral:rRNA from 1 species
GAUGAACGCUGGCGGCGUGCCUAAUACAUGCAAGUCGAGCGAACAGACGAGGAGCUUGCUCCUCUGACGUUAGCGGCGGACGGGUGAGUAACACGUGGAUAACCUACCUAUAAGACUGGGAUAACUUCGGGAAACCGGAGCUAAUACCGGAUAAUAUAUUGAACCGCAUGGUUCAAUAGUGAAAGACGGUUUUGCUGUCACUGAUAGAUGGAUCCGCGCCGCCUUAGCUAGUUGGUAAGGUAACGGCUUACCAAGGCAACGAUGCGUAGCCGACCUGAGAGGGUGAUCGGCCACACUGGAACUGAGACACGGUCCAGACUCCGACGGGAGGCAGCAGUAGGGAAUCUUCCGCAAUGGGCGAAAGCCUGACGGAGCAACGCCGAGUGAGUGAUGAAGGUCUUCGGAUCGUAAAACUAUGUUAUUAGGGAAGAACAAAUGUGUAAGUAACUAUGCACGUCUUGACGGUACCUAAUCAGAAAGCCACGGCUAACUACGUG